rnacentral:ncRNA from 1 species
AAGUGAGGACGACCUCACCUCUCAAAUUUCAUCAGGGGACGGCCCCG